rnacentral:rRNA from 1 species
CUAUACAUGACUCUGCGCAUAUCAAUAAGCGGAGGAAAAGAAACUAACAAGGAUUCCCUUAGUAACGGCGAGUGAAGCGGGAAGAUCUUACUAGCCUGCGCUAUUUUACCUACGCUUAGGAUGUUGACGAGACUGUCGAUCUCAUCUAUACAUGACUCUGCGCAUAUCAAUAAGCGGAGGAAAAGGCUGCGGAACUGAACGACCGCUACCUACGCUUAGGAUGUUGACGAGACUGUCGAUCUCAUCUAUACAUGACUCUGCGCAUAUCAAUAAGCGGAGGAAAAGAAACUAACAAGGAUUCCCCUAGUAACGGCGAGUGAAGCGGGAAGAGCUCAAAUUUGAAAUCUUCAAGGGUUUCCCUUGACGAAUUGUAGUUUAAAGAAGUGUUUUCUGUUAGAGAGGUGGUAAAAGUUCUUUGGAAUAGGACAUCAUAGAGGGUGAGAAUCCCGUAUUUGAUCACUUUCUACUAACGUUGUGAUACACUUUCAAAGAGUCGGAUUGUUUGGGAAUGCAGUCCAAAAUGGGUGGUAAAUUCCAUCUAAAGCUAAAUAUUGGCGAGAGACCGAUAGCGAACAAGUACCGUGAGGGAAAGAUGAAAAGAACUUUGAAAAGAGAGUUAAACAGUACGUGAAAUUGUCAAAAGGGAAGCGUUUGACACCAGUGUUGUUUAGUUGAAAAUCAAUUCAAUAGUUUUUGAUUUUGAGUAGUAUUGACUUCAUCAGCUUGCUGCUCUCUUUUCGGAAAUUAUUGAAUGCACUUUUCAGUUAACAAGUCAACAUCAAUUUCUUUUGUUGUAAAAGGGUAAGAGGAAGGUGGCUUACGCUUCGGCGUAAGUGUUUAUAGCCUUUUACCUCUGCAAUCGGAGAGAUUGAGGACAGCAGCGUAGACUCUUCGGGGUUAGAUACACCUGUGCUAAGCUAUAGCCUUGUAUAGACAACUUGUUGACUAUGCUCAGUCAUGUAGCUUACUCGCUUAUGCUAUUUUACCUACGCUUAGGAUGUUGACGAGACUGUCGAUCUC